rnacentral:lncRNA from 1 species
ACUCACAGUCCUCUAUUACAGGGGUGGGCAGCAACUCACAGUCCUCUAUUACAGGGGUGGGCGGCAACUCACAGUCCUCUAUUACAGGGGUGGGCGGCAACUCACAGUCCUCUAUUACAGGGGUGGGCAGCAACUCACAGUCCUCUAUUACAGGGGUGGGCAGCAACUCACAGUCCUCUAGUACAGGGGUGGGCAGCAACUCACAGUCCUCUAUUACAGGGGUGGGCAGUAACUCACAGUCCUCUAUUACAGGGGUGGGCAGUAACUCACAGUCCUCUAUUACAGGGGUGGGCAGUAACUCACAGUCCUCUAUUACAGGGGUGGGCAGAAACUCACAGUCCUCUAUUACACGGGUGGGCAGCAACUCACAGUCCUCUAGUACAGGGGUGGGCAGCAACUCACAGUCCUCUAUUACAGGGGUGGGCAGCAACUCACAGUCCUCUAUUACAGGGGUGGGCAGUAACUCACAGUCCUCUAUUACAGGGGUGGGCAGCAACUCACAGUCCUCUAUUACAGGGGUGGGCAGCAACUCACAGUCCUCUAUUACAGGGGUGGGCAGUAACUCACAGUCCUCUAUUACAGGGGUGGGCAGCAACUCACAGUCCUCUAUUACAGGGGUGGGCAGCAACUCACAGUCCUCU